rnacentral:rRNA from 1 species
GACGAACGCUGGCGGCGUGCUUAACACAUGCAAGUCGAACGGAAAGGCCCUGCUUUUGUGGGGUGCUCGAGUGGCGAACGGGUGAGUAACACGUGAGUAACCUGCCCUUGACUUUGGGAUAACUUCAGGAAACUGGGGCUAAUACCGGAUAGGAGCUCCUGCUGCAUGGUGGGUGUUGGAAAGUUUCGGCGGUUGGGGAUGGACUCGCGGCUUAUCAGCUUGUUGGUGGGGUAGUGGCUUACCAAGGCUUUGACGGGUAGCCGGCCUGAGAGGGUGACCGGCCACAUUGGGACUGGGAUACGGCCCAGACUCCUACGGGAGGCAGCAGUGGGGAAUAUUGCACAAUGGGCGGAAGCCUGAUGCAGCAACGCCGCGUGCGGGAUGACGGCCUUCGGGUUGUAAACCGCUUUCGCCUGUGACGAAGCGUGAGUGACGGUAAUGGAUAAAGAAGCACCGGCUAACUACGUG